ensembl:snRNA LOC120094029 U2 spliceosomal RNA
AUCGCUUCUCGGCCUUUUGGCUAAGAUCAAGUGUAGUAUCUGUUCUUAUCAGAAAGAGCUGAAGGGGCUUGCAACCCCAUAAGAACAACAAUGCCAGCCAAC